rnacentral:rRNA from 1 species
GACAGAGGAGCCAAGCGUUGUCCGGAUUGACUGGGCGUAAAGCGCACGCAGGCGGUGCGGCACGUGGGGUGUGAAAGCGGCCCGCUUAACGGGUCGAGGCCAUCCCAUACGGCCACACUCGAGAGUGGCAGAGGUUCGUGGAAUUGCCGGUGUAGUGGUGAAAUGCGUAGAGAUCGGCAGGAACACCAAGGGGGAAACCAGCGAACUGGGCCAUGUCGUGACGCUCAGGUGCGAAAGCGUGGGGAGCGGAACCGG